ACAGGAGCCCCAGCCCCACACAGCAACCACCCGGGCGAGAAAGAAAGAAAGAGCCAGGGAGGCGGGCGAAGCGCGGGGAGAGAAGCAGAGAAGAAAUAUUCACCUUCCCGCCUCAUGCCCACUUUGAGGCACUUCUUGAGGCGGCAGUAUUGGCACUGGUUGCGGUGGUGCUGGUCGAUGGGACAGUUCCUGUUGGCACGGCAUGUGUAAGUUAAGUUCCUGCGGACGCUCCUCUUGAAGAAACUUUUGCAGCCCUCGCAGCAGGUAGAUGAAACUCAAGAGAAAAGGUGUGGAUAAAUGAAACUAGCCCAUGAUGAACCUGUUUUCUCCGUGACCACAAUAUUAACCAGGAUGAAUGGCGGUGGCAGUGGGCCUGCAUCACAGGUUGCAGCAGAUGUUCUCAAUAUUUCUAUUAAAAUUUCCUUAUUUCCAUAUGCAAGAGGAGCCCCAGAGCUGCAUCCUUAUGGUAGCUACCAUGCCGUGAUGUAAGCUGCCAUUCACUGGGGAGCUUUGGCAAUAGAAUUGGCUAGAUCAGGAAGCCUAUGUCAACUAUGGAACAACAACUUGCAGCUCAUCUCUAUUGAUGAUGGAAUCUCGCUAUGUCACCAGGCUGGAGUGCAGUGGCGCAACCUCGGCUCAGCGCAACAUCCGCCUCCCGGGUUCAAGUGAUUCUCCUACCUCAGCCUCCUGAGUAGCUGGGAUUACAGGUGAAACAGUCGCAAAUGGAAUUCCAAGAAACAUUCUAUAUACACUGCCUCUAGGACUGGGACAGAUAGCCACUGAGUACCUGCUUCAAAUCACCCUGCACGUUUUCUCUUUGGAAAGAUAAGCACUGGAGAACCAUCUCGUUACCUUCAGCAGAAAUGGAAACAAAUCAAGACAUUAAGAAUGCCGCAGUGGACAGCAGUUAUGCAAGGUUCAGCAGAGGAAGUUUUCAAGAUGGUGUGCCUCACUAGCCAGAAAUCAGAAAAGAUCGAAGCUAGCCUUUUCAUCUCAGCUGCUCCUUAAAUCAGUGCAACCCCUCCAAAUUAAUGUGAAUUGAAACUUGCAUUGCUUUUCAACUUAAUUGAAUACUUACUAUAUGUGAACCACUGCACAAAAUAGGGGAAGAAGAUGUGGGAGACAAAGAUGUGGAGCCUGUCUUCAAUAAAUUUACAGUUAGUUUCAGGGUACAUUGUUUUUCUUCUGCUGUUAAUUAGGUGUAUCCCCAAGACAAUAAAUACAUGAAUGGAAAAGUAUAUUCUGUGUUUUAAGUCUCUUUAAUAAAAAACAAAACAAAAUCCAAAAAAACUCCUAACAUGGCAACUCAGGACAUUUUAAUCCUUUUUUUUGUUGUUGGGCUUCUGAUAGGAUCCAUUUUAUUGAUUCCAUAAAUAUUUAGUAGACUUUAGACAUAUUAAUACAUUGUAGUUUGAGUUAAUUUGCAUUAAAUUCUGUUUUUUUCCCCUUAGGUAUAGAUUGUCUGUUGGAAAAAUAUAUUGCUUGUGGAUUUCUUGGGGAGUGGGAAGGUGAAUUAUACCUGUUGUCUCUACAGUCCACUACCUUCCACACCCUAGGGCAGUGGUCCCCAACCUUCUUGGCACCAGGGAUCAGUUUCCUGGAAGACAAUUUUUCUGUGGAUGGUGUGGGGAUGGUUUUGGGAUGGAACUGUUCCACCUCAGAUCAUCAGGCAUUAGUUAGGCUCUCAUAACGAGUGCGCAGCCUAGAUCCCUCACAUGCACAGUUCACAGUAGGGUUUGCGCUGCUAUGAGAAUCUAAGGCUGCCACUGAUCUGACAGGAGGCAGAACUCAGGUGGCAAUGCUUACUGGCCCACUGCUCACCUCUUGCUGUGCGGCCUGGUUCCUAAUAGGCCAUGGACCCCCACAGACGGGUACUAGUCUGCAGCCUGUGGACCCCAGCCCUAGGGGCCUGCCAUUCUGAGUGAGUUAUUAGCAUGAAGAAGAGGAAGAUCUGGAUCAAACGUGGGUGAUGGUACUCAGAGACCCAAGAUAGGAUAGGGAUGGAACAAAAUCCAUCUGGGCAACGGCUCUAUGAAAAUUUGGCUAAGUAAUUAUUUCAGUAUUCAUUGUAUUCAUUGUCCUUCGUGUUCCAUAAGUUAAAUGACUGUCUAAUUUUUCCAAAAAUUUAUUUCUGACUUGAGAAUAAGUGUGUCAUGAUUUUCCCAGUGUAAAGACACUGAUAUAACUGUAGAUACCAGACAUUUUAUGUAGUGUCUAUGACACAUUUUAGUAUGUAUGAGCCAACAAUAGACAUGUCUUUGUCUUGAGGAGUGUCCAUCUGAAUUGAAAAUGUGUCAGCUUUUUUUUAACAUCAUCAACAGACUUCUUAAUUAAGCUGCCAAUACAUACUGCCAAUAGCACUGUGUGCUGUCUGAGAAAUGCAUUGUGUAAGUGCUAUUUCCAUCUUAUUAAAUAAACAAUGUUGCUCUGUAUAAACUGGAUUUAAAGUGUUCUUUGAAUGAGGCAUUAUAUUGCUCCAUAAAUAAUGUGAUGUGAAUUCUCAUAUGAUCCCUUUUAACUUAAUUUCUAAAAAAAUAUUAUUUGCUCCUCAGUAAGGAAUAGCUCUAAUUGGACUGGUAACUUUAGUGAUAUGAUUUGUCUGUAACAGGCUGAAUCGCCCCACUCCCAAACUCCUGGUCGUGAUACUGGAUAUUUGUUAUGCCACUUUUAGUUUGCAUGAGGUAUCUUCCAGGAAGUAUUAGUUAUUAACUUGUGUUCUACUAAACUGUAGAUAUUUAUUUCCUGUUCUGGAAGAUUUCUUGGAGUGUCCAUCUGUGCAUUCCUGGUGCCUAGUGUAGUCUUGCUAAUGGAAUAGCACCUUUAUUGGUGCUACUUAGGGGUUGGUAGCUUACAAUCAAUCUACUUGGAACGUAUCCAAAUAAACUGGAUAUUUUUAUACA
rnacentral:lncRNA from 1 species